rnacentral:lncRNA from 1 species
GCGAUAGAGUGAAUGAGAGAGAGACGGCAGCAUGUGUGAGGCGGGGGCAGUAGGAGCUUUCCAGGGGCUCUGAUGGGAUGGACAAGACUGGACACCAAGGUCUUCAUCGGCAAGAGGUUCCUGUGACACAGACAUGACACCCCACAGCCUGCAGAAGGUGGACACAGUCAGGAGGGCCCCCCUGGCUUUGAGAGCAGACGGCAGAG